AAUAGAUACCCCGGUAGUCCACGCCGUAAACGAUGAGUGCUAAGUGUUAGAGGGUUUCCGCCCUUUAGUGCUGCAGCAAACGCAUUAAGCACUCCGCCUGGGGAGUACGGUCGCAAGACUGAAACUCAAAGGAAUUGACGGGGGCCCGCACAAGCGGUGGAGCAUGUGGUUUAAUUCGAAGCAACGCGAAGAACCUUACCAGGUCUUGACAUCCUCUGACACUCCUAGAGAUAGGAAUUUCCCCUUCGGGGGACAGAGUGACAGGUGGUGCAUGGUUGUCGUCAGCUCGUGUCGUGAGAUGUUGGGUUAAGUCCCGCAACGAGCGCAACCCUUGAUCUUAGUUGCCAGCAUUUAGUUGGGCACUCUAAGGUGACUGCCGGUGACAAACCGGAGGAAGGUGGGGAUGACGUCAAAUCAUCAUGCCCCUUAUGACCUGGGCUACACACGUGCUACAAUGGAUGGUACAAAGGGCAGCAAAACCGCGAGGUUAAGCCAAUCCCAUAAAACCAUUCUCAGUUCGGAUUGCAGGCUG
rnacentral:rRNA from 1 species